rnacentral:rRNA from 1 species
CGGCGUGCUUAACACAUGCAAGUCGAACGGAAAGGCCCUGCUUUUGUGGGGUGCUCGAGUGGCGAACGGGUGAGUAACACGUGAGUAACCUGCCCUUGACUUUGGGAUAACUUCAGGAAACUGGGGCUAAUACCGGAUAGGAGCUCCUGCUGCAUGGUGGGGGUUGGAAAGUUUCGGCGGUUGGGGAUGGACUCGCGGCUUAUCAGCUUGUUGGUGGGGUAGUGGCCUACCAAGGCUUUGACGGGUAGCCGGCCUGAGAGGGUGACCGGCCACAUUGGGACUGAGAUACGGCCCAGACUCCUACGGGAGGCAGCAGUGGGGAAUAUUGCACAAUGGGCGGAAGCCUGAUGCAGCAACGCCGCGUGCGGGAUGACGGCCUUCGGGUUGUAAACCGCUUUCGCCUGUGACGAAGCGUGAGUGACGGUAAUGGGUAAAGAAGCACCGGCUAACUACGUGCCAGCAGCCGCGGUGAUACGUAGGGUGCGAGCGUUGUCCGGAUUUAUUGGGCGUAAAGGGCUCGUAGGUGGUUGAUCGCGUCGGAAGUGUAAUCUUGGGGCUUAACCCUGAGCGUGCUUUCGAUACGGGUUGACUUGAGGAAGGUAGGGGAGAAUGGAAUUCCUGGUGGAGCGGUGGAAUGCGCAGAUAUCAGGAGGAACACCAGUGGCGAAGGCGGUUCUCUGGGCCUUUCCUGACGCUGAGGAGCGAAAGCGUGGGGAGCGAACAGGCUUAGAUACCCUGGUAGUCCACGCUGUAAACGGUGGGUACUAGGUGUGGGGUCCAUUCCACGGGUUCCGUGCCGUAGCUAACGCUUUAAGUACCCCGCCUGGGGAGUACGGCCGCAAGGCUAAAACUCAAAGGAAUUGACGGGGCCCCGCACAAGCGGCGGAGCAUGCGGAUUAAUUCGAUGCAACGCGUAGAACCUUACCUGGGUUUGACAUGGAUCGGGAGUGCUCAGAGAUGGGUGUGCCUCUUUUGGGGUCGGUUCACAGGUGGUGCAUGGCUGUCGUCAGCUCGUGUCGUGAGAUGUUGGGUUAAGUCCCGCAACGAGCGCAACCCUUGUUCACUGUUGCCAGCACGUUAUGGUGGGGACUCAGUGGAGACCGCCGGGGUCAACUCGGAGGAAGGUGGGGAUGACGUCAAGUCAUCAUGCCCCUUAUGUCCAGGGCUUCACGCAUGCUACAAUGGCUGGUACAGAGAGUGGCGAGCCUGUGAGGGUGAGCGAAUCUCGGAAAGCCGGUCUCAGUUCGGAUUGGGGUCUGCAACUCGACCUCAUGAAGUCGGAGUCGCUAGUAAUCGCAGAUCAGCAACGCUGCGGUGAAUACGUUCCCGGGGCUUGUACACACCGCCCGUCAAGUCAUGAAAGUUGGUAACACCCGAAGCCGGUGGCCUAACCGUUGUGGGGGAGCCGUCGAAGGUGGGACUGGUGAUUAGGACU